rnacentral:lncRNA from 1 species
CCCACAGACCCGCAGCCCAGGUCUGCAAAGCCCCCUCCACCGCCUGGGCCCCGGGCGCCGCGGCCCCCAGCGGAGGGGAAGGGGACCGAGGAAGGGAAGAAGCUGUAAACAGCCCCAGCGUCCGGGCCUCGCCUCGAAGAGCCCAGCUCCCAGGCCCCGCCGCGGCCGCCAGAGUCCCCAGCCCGUCCGAGGACCGCCCCUCCCGGGGCCCCGGGCACCGGAGGGGAGUCAGGUCUCCUCCCCAGAGGGCUCCGGCAGCUUGCGGAGCGGUCCCAGCAGCAGAGAAGGGGGAAGUCAGGACUUACCUGUCAUUACUUUCUACGCCAUCUUGGAUCCACUUGUCAACGUCCCCACAAAGCAUUAUGGUCCAGGGUGCGUCCUGCCCCAUCUGUGGCCAAGACACCACCUGUUGCCUGACGUACAUGGCCUCCGCUGAGCCCUCUGCAGUCCAUUCUCCAUCAGGCUGACCCUGUGACCGACCCUGUGACGUGCCGAAAUGCUAAUGGAAAUACCUGACUCUUCUGAUUAACCCCAUCAAAGGCAGCCC